GGGGAUAUAGCUCAGUUGGUAGAGUGCUUGCCUUGCAUGCAAAGGCUUGGGGUUCAAUCCCCAGCACCACCA
rnacentral:tRNA from 1 species